GAUGAACGCCGGCGGCGUGCCUAAUACAUGCAAGUCGAGCGAACAGACGAGGAGCUUGCUCCUCUGACGUUAGCGGCGGACGGGUGAGUAACACGUGGAUAACCUACCUAUAAGACUGGGAUAACUUCGGGAAACCGGAUCUAAUACCGGAUAAUAUAUUGAACCGCAUGGUUCAAUAGUGAAAGACGGUUUUGCUGUCACUUAUAGAUGGAUCCGCGCCGCAUUAGCUAGUUGGUAAGGUAACGGCUUACCAAGGCAACGAUGCGUAGCCGACCUGAGAGGGUGAUCGGCCACACUGGAACUGAGACACGGUCCAGACUCCUACGGGAGGCAGCAGUAGGGAAUCUUCCGCAAUGGGCGAAAGCCUGACGGGGCAACGCCGCGUGAGUGAUGAAGGUCUUCGGAUCGUAAAACUCUGUUAUUAGGGAAGAACAAAUGUGUAAGUAACUAUGCACGGCUUGACGGUACCUAAUCAGAAAGCCACGGCUAACUACGUG
rnacentral:rRNA from 1 species